UACAGAGGGUGCAAGCGUUGUUCGGAAUCACUGGGCGUAAAGCGCGCGCAGGCGGGCGUGUAAGUCAGAAGUGAAAUUCCGGGGCUCAACCCCGGAGCUGCUCCUGAUACUGCAUGUCUGGAGACCGGUAGAGGCUGGUGGAAUUCCCGGUGUAGCGGUGGAAUGCGUAGAGAUCGGGAAGAACACCCGUGGCGAAGGCGGCCAGCUGGGCCGGUUCUGACGCUGAGGCGCGAAAGCGUGGGGAGCAAACAGG
rnacentral:rRNA from 1 species